rnacentral:rRNA from 1 species
AGCGAACGCUGGCGGCAGGCCUAACACAUGCAAGUCGAACGGAUCCUUCGGGAUUAGUGGCGGACGGGUGAGUAACACGUGGGAACGUGCCCUUUGGUUCGGAACAACUCAGGGAAACUUGAGCUAAUACCGGAUGUGCCCCUCGGGGGAAAGAUUUAUCGCCAUUGGAGCGGCCCGCGUCUGAUUAGCUAGUUGGUGGGGUAAAGGCCCACCAAGGCGAAGAUCAGUAGCUGGUCUGAGAGGAUGAUCAGCCACAUUGGGACUGAGACACGGCCCAAACUCCUACGGGAGGCAGCAGUGGGGAAUCUUGCGCAAUGGGCGAAAGCCUGACGCAGCCAUGCCGCGUGAAUGAUGAAGGUCGUAGGAUUGUAAAAUUCUUUCACCGGGGACGAUAAUGACGGUACCCGGAGAAGAAGCCCCGGCUAACUUCGUGCCAGCCGCCGCGGUAA